rnacentral:rRNA from 1 species
AUUGAACGCUGGCGGCAUGCCUUACACAUGCAAGUCGAACGGCAGCACGGGAGCAAUCCUGGUGGCGAGUGGCGAACGGGUGAGUAAUAUAUCGGAACGUGCCCAGUCGUGGGGAUAACGUAGCGAAAGCUACGCUAAUACCGCAUACGAUCUAUGGAUGAAAGCGGGGGAUCGCAAGACCUCGCGCGAUUGGAGCGGCCGAUAUCAGAUUAGGUAGUUGGUGAGGUAAAGGCUCACCAAGCCGACGAUCUGUAGCUGGUCUGAGAGGACGACCAGCCACACUGGGACUGAGACACGGCCCAGACUCCUACGGGAGGCAGCAGUGGGGAAUUUUUGGGACAAUGGGUGCAAGCCUGAUCCAGCAAUGCCGCGUGCAGGAUGAAGGCCUUCGGGUUGUAAAC